UUAGACUUAGCGGCGGACGGGUGAGUAACGCGUGGGUAACCUGCCUUACACUGGGGGAUAACAGUUAGAAAUGACUGCUAAUACCGCGUAAGCGCACAGGGCCGCAUGGUCUGGUGUGAAAAACUCCGGUGGUGUAAGAUGGACCCGCGUCUGAUUAGGUAGUUGGUGGGGUAACGGCCCACCAAGCCGACGAUCAGUAGCCGACCUGAGAGGGUGACCGGCCACAUUGGGACUGAGACACGGCCCAA
rnacentral:rRNA from 1 species